AUGAUUCCAGGGAGGAAUUUCUGCAUCUUCCUCAUCCAAGGGCGCCCAAUUCCCACCGGGAAGGGUUCCCUGGUUCUCAUGCCAAAGCCGAUCUGUCCCGCGGGAUUCAAUUCCUUGGAGAGAGAAAUAAAGGAUUGUUGGAAAAUCGGGAGUGCCUGGGAUCUUCCCGAGGGAGAGGGAGAGGGAGGAGGGGCUGGGAGAGGAGGGUCCCGAUCCUCGGGGACUUGGGAUUCUUCCCUCGGGAUCUGCCAGAGGAGGGUCCUGAUCCUUUGGGAUCUCGGCAUCACCUCCAGUCUUUACUUUGGGAUAUGGGAAAGGAGGAUCCCGAUCCUCUGGGACCUCGGAUUCUUCCCUCGGGAUCUGGGAGAGGAGGGUCCUGAUCCUUUGGGAUCUCGGCAUCGCCUCCAAUCUUUACUUUGGGAUAUGGGAAAGGAGGAUCCCGAUCCUCUGGGACCUCGGAUUCUUCCCUUGGGAUCUGGGAGGGGAAGAGGGGCUGGGAGAGGAGGAUCCCGAUCCCCCGGGUCCUUGGUACCACCUCGGGUUCUUCCCUCGGGAACUGGGAGAGGAGAACCCCAAUCCUCUGGGACUUGGGCUCCUUCCCUCGGGAUCUGGGAAAGGCGGAUCCCGCUCCUGUGGGACCUUGGCACCACCUCGGCUCCUUCCCUCGGGAUCUGGGAAAGGAGGAUCCUGAUCCCUGGGACCUUGGCACCACCUCGGCUCCUUCCCGUGGGAUCUGUGGGGAGUGAAGGGCUGGGAGAGGAGGAUCCCGAUCCCCAGCACCACCUUGGAAUCUUCCCUUGGGGUCUGGAGAGGGAACGAGGGUUGGGAAAGGAGGAUCCCGCUGCCCUGGGAUCCCCCCACGCUGCUGCUCCAUCGACUCCGCUCGGCAAAUUCGGGAAACACCGGAUUCUCUUUGGGAUAAGGCUCUAUCGACUCCGCUCGGCAAAUUCGGGAAACACCGGAUUCUCUUUGGGAUAAGGCUCUAUCCCACUCCUGACCUUUCCCAGGAUGAGGGAGACGAGGUGAUUUGGCUUGGAGCUCAUCCAGGGAUUCCACAUCCUUUGGGAAAAGGGAUUCCCGGACCAAGGCCAGGCUGGAAGGGGCCUGCAGCAACCUGGGAUAGUGGGAAGUGUCGGGGUGGGAAUGGGAUGGGAUUUAAGGUCCUUCCAGCCCUUGUCCCAAAUCCCUCUCCAGCUCUUCUGGAGCCCCAUUAGGCUCGGGAAGGGGCUCCAAGGAUUCCCUGGAUUCUUCCCUUCUCCAGCUGGACAUUCCCAGCUCCUUCCUUCCAUCCAUCCAUCCAUGGCUCCAUCCUUGCAUCCAUCCUUUAAUCCCGCCCUAUUUUCCAUGUCCAAAUUCCCAACGGAGAAAACAACGGAGCCGGGAUUUUCCCAUGGAAAACAGCACAAAGCUCAGCUGCCUCCAGCAUUUGGGAACACAGCGCAUUCCCGAGGAUCCAGAGGGAUCCAGAGGGAUCCAGAGGGGCUAAUCUGGCAGGUCCAGGGACGGGGCAGGAGCCUCCGGGCAGAUCCCGAGGGAUUCGGGAAUCUUGAGCCAAUUUUUCCCCUCUUAAAGCGUUUAAAUCUUCCCCGUCAGCCGUAUCCCAAAUAUUUACAAUCCAUCGGAGCGACUUAAAAUUCCUGCCGUGGGGGAAGCUCAUCCCAGGGCUCAUCCCGACUCCUGUGAACCGCCGGGAGUGGGAGGAAAGGUCGUUAUCCCGGUGGGAAAGGGGGCGGAAACAGGGGGAAAACAGGGGAGACUGAGGCAUGAAUGGGGGAAAAAUGAGAGGAAAACUGGGGCUGCCUUGGGAUCCGAAGGAAUUUUUGGUAAUUAAGGGUUUCAUCCUUAAAAAUUCCCUGUUAAUUCUUUAUGUUUUCCCUUCCCAGGGGAGAUGAUGUUGGGAAGGGGAAUCCGUGGUUUUCUUAUCCUGGUUUUCCGCAUCCCAUCCCAAACGUGGCCCCGAUGCCUCUGGAUGCUGAGGGAAGCGGGAAGUUUGGGAUAACCGGGAUGGGCACAGGGACGUUCCCAGGUUCCGGCCAUGGAUCCUCCUGAUCCCGAGGCUCUGGAUGUGCCCUUAUCCCAUCUCCGGGAUCCCGGGGGGCCCCGGAUUCCCGGUGUUUCCAUGGAUGCAGGGACAGGAGGUGGCCCCAUCCCGCUGCCUUCCCCUUCUCCCUUUGGAUCCAAGAGGUCCCCAC
rnacentral:lncRNA from 13 species